rnacentral:rRNA from 1 species
UACGAAGGGGGCUAGCGUUGCUCGGAAUCACUGGGCGUAAAGGGUGCGUAGGCGGGUUCUUAAGUCAGAGGUGAAAUCCUGGAGCUCAACUCCAGAACUGCCUUUGAUACUGAGAGUCUUGAGUAUGGCAGAGGUGAGUGAAACUGCGAGUGUAGAGGUGAAAUUCGUAGAUAUUCGCAAGAACACCAGUGGCGAAGGCGGCUCACUGGGUCAUUACUGACGCUGAGGCACGAAAGCGUGGGGAGCAAACAGG